ensembl:snRNA
UGAAUGUAUGGAAGGAGAGAAGGUUAGCACUCCCACAGACAAGAAUGGAAGAGGCCUUUGGGCCUAACAUCAUGCAUACUCUAAAAUGAACUCUAAGGCAGUUCCCAAAUGUAUUUAAU